rnacentral:misc_RNA from 1 species
AACACGCGGCUUACCUAUGUAAAGAAUUUUUCGUAUCAAGACGGGGAUGUGCUUGUCAGUAGCUAUCCGAAAACAGGAACACAUUGGACAGCAAAUCUUUUACACUACCUUAUGUAUGAUGGCCCACUGGACACACUGGUGUCACAUCCACCUUGCCUUAUAGAUGCCUUCAGUUAUGGGGAUUGGCCACAGAAACGGGAUGGAAAUAGAAUAAUAGUGUCACAUUUUCCGCCAAAACGAUUACCAGCCGAACAUUUUGAAAAAGGCGGGAAAACGAUUGUUGUGUUCAGAAACCCAAAAGAUACAGCAGGUGUCAAUGUUUCAUCAAUUACAGAGGUUCAAGAAGUUCGGCGAGUUCAAGUUAUCUUGGAACAGUUACAUUAAUUAUUGGAUGGAUGGCAAAAUGCCGUAUGGGUCAUAUUUUGACUACUACAACAACUGGCAACAGCAGAUCAAGGAGAAACCUGAACAAAAUGUUUUAGUUGUACAAUAUGAAGACUUAAAAAGGGACAGCUUGAAUCAGCUUCGAAGGAUUCAGAAUUAUCUUGGACUUAAUCAUUCAGACGAACGACUUCAAGCUGUGUUGGACAAAUGUUCACUUGGAAACCUAAGGGCUGAAGUAGAAAAUGGUAAAAUCAAAACACCUCUGAUUGAUGAAAAAGGAAAGUCAAUUCUCUACAGAAAAGGAGUAAUCGGAGACUGGAAGAACAAUUUCACUGUUGCACAAAACGAAAAGAUAGAGGAACUUGUUGAAGAGAAGUUUAAGGACAGUAUGUUCAGUUAUAAUGUUUGGAACUGCUAACAAGGCAAAAGCCAGUGCUGAUAACCAAGUAUGUUCAUUAAUAAGUCAGUGGACUGCUUUUACUAGAGUAAGCAUUUAUUACAAGUAUGUAUGUUGAAUUUCAAAGCAUGCAAAUUGCUAGCAUGUCGUGAACUUGAAAGUGAUAAAGAAGACGGUGGUGAUUAAGCAUUCUUGUCCUGGCAUUGCCGGAUGUCGUUUAAAACUUUACAUUAAAAUCAAAGGAAUUAAAAAGUAUAGAUAGAAUGUGGGGUGUACAUAUAAAUAGUUCAUAUUAAAUGGUUUUAGUGUCUGCUCGGUAUAAAGUGUCGUCAAUAUUUCGACCUUUCUCGUAAGAAAGUUUGAAUUUUGUAGUUCUGCACAGUAUGUUCGCAAAUCAUGAAUGUUCCUAGUACCUUGGUACUUUGGCCGUUAGAGAUGUGAUGAUAUAUGCAGUUCCGCCAAAUUAUAGACACAUUUAUAUCGGCUGAGAGUUUGGUAUCAUAGUUUAACAGUUACAAACCAGUAUUCGAGGAUAUUGAUUUGUGUUAUUGUAAAAAAAAUGUGUUAUUGUACAAGGUUGUUUUACAUUGAAAUAAAAUUGAUGAGGAAUUGGA